rnacentral:rRNA from 1 species
GGGUUGUGAGGUUAAGCGACUAAGCGUACACGGUGGAUGCCCUGGCAGUCAGAGGCGAUGAAGGACGUGCUAAUCUGCGAUAAGCGUCGGUAAGGUGAUAUGAACCGUUAUAACCGGCGAUUUCCGAAUGGGGAAACCCAGUGUGAUUCGUCACACUAUCGUUAACUGAAUACAUAGGUUAACGAAGCGAACCGGGGGAACUGAAACAUCUAAGUACCCCGAGGAAAAGAAAUCAACCGAGAUUCCCCCAGUAGCGGCGAGCGAACGGGGAGGAGCCCAGAGCCUGAAUCAGCAUGUGUGUUAGUGGAAGCGUCUGGAAAGGCGCGCGAUACAGGGUGACAGCCCCGUACACAAAAGCGCAUGUGCUGUGAGCUCGAUGAGUAGGGCGGGACACGUGGUAUCCUGUCUGAAUAUGGGGGGACCAUCCUCCAAGGCUAAAUACUCCUGACUGACCGAUAGUGAACCAGUACCGUGAGGGAAAGGCGAAAAGAAUCCCGGCGAGGGGAGUGAAAAAGAACCUGAAACCGUGUACGUACAAGCAGUGGGAGCCCCACCACCAAAGCAUUCUCUGGUGUUGAAGGCCCUGCAAAGCAGCAUCGCGGUGGCGGAGCGUCGUUUGCGACGCCCAACACACAAAACAAGCGGUGAGUGCUUUGGGGUGGGGUGACUGCGUACCUUUUGUAUAAUGGGUCAGCGACUUAUAUUCUGUAGCAAGGUUAACCGUAUAGGGGAGCCGAAGGGAAACCGAGUCUUAACUGGGCGUUAAGUUGCAGGGUAUAGACCCGAAACCCGGUGAUCUAGCCAUGGGCAGGUUGAAGGUUGGGUAACACUAACUGGAGGACCGAACCGACUAAUGUUGAAAAAUUAGCGGAUGACCUGUGGCUGGGGGUGAAAGGCCAAUCAAACCGGGAGAUAGCUGGUUCUCCCCGAAAGCUAUUUAGGUAGCGCCUCGUGAACUCAUCUUCGGGGGUAGAGCACUGUUUCGGCUAGGGGGUCAUCCCGACUUACCAACCCGAUGCAAACUGCGAAUACCGAAGAAUGUUAUCACGGGAGACACACGGCGGGUGCUAACGUCCGUCGUGAAGAGGGAAACAACCCAGACCGCCAGCUAAGGUCCCAAAGUCACAGUUAAGUGGGAAACGAUGUGGGAAGGCUCAGACAGCCAGGAUGUUGGCUUAGAAGCAGCCAUCAUUUAAAGAAAGCGUAAUAGCUCACUGGUCGAGUCGGCCUGCGCGGAAGAUGUAACGGGGCUAAACUGUGCACCGAAGCUGCGGCAGCGACGCUUAUGCGUUGUUGGGUAGGGGAGCGUUCUGUAAGCCUGCGAAGGUGUCCUGUGAGGGAUGCUGGAGGUAUCAGAAGUGCGAAUGCUGACAUAAGUAACGAUAAUGCGGGUGAAAAGCCCGCUCGCCGGAAGACCAAGGGUUCCUGUCCAACGUUAAUCGGGGCAGGGUGAGUCGACCCCUAAGGCGAGGCCGAAAGGCGUAGUCGAUGGGAAACGGGUUAAUAUUCCCGUACUUGGUGUUACUGCGAAGGGGGGACGGAGAAGGCUAUGUUGGCCGGGCGACGGUUGUCCCGGUUUAAGCGUGUAGGCUGGUUUUCCAGGCAAAUCCGGAAAAUCAAGGCUGAGGCGUGAUGACGAGGCACUACGGUGCUGAAGCAACAAAUGCCCUGCUUCCAGGAAAAGCCUCUAAGCAUCAGGUAACAUCAAAUCGUACCCCAAACCGACACAGGUGGUCAGGUAGAGAAUACCAAGGCGCUUGAGAGAACUCGGGUGAAGGAACUAGGCAAAAUGGUGCCGUAACUUCGGGAGAAGGCACGCUGACACGUAGGUGAAGUGAUUUACUCA